UGGGGAAUUUUGGACAAUGGGCGAAAGCCUGAUCCAGCCAUGCCGCGUGAGUGAAGAAGGCCUUCGGGUUGUAAAGCUCUUUUAGUCGGAAAGAAAGAGUUGCAAUGAAUAAUUGUGAUUUAUGACGGUACCGACAGAAAAAGCACCGGCUAACUACGUGCCAGCAGCCGCGGUAAUACGUAGGGUGCGAGCGUUAAUCGGAAUUACUGGGCGUAAAGGGUGCGCAGGCGGUCUUGCAAGUCAGGUGUGAAAGCCCCGGGCUUAACCUGGGAAUUGCGUUUGAAACUACAAGGCUAGAGUGCAGCAGAGGGGAGUGGAAUUCCAUGUGUAGCAGUGAAAUGCGUAGAGAUGUGGAAGAACACCGAUGGCGAAGGCAGCUCCCUGGGUUGACACUGACGCUCAUGCACGAAAGCGUGGGGAGCAAACA
rnacentral:rRNA from 1 species